rnacentral:rRNA from 1 species
GAUGAACGCUGGCGGCGUGCCUAAUACAUGCAAGUCGAGCGAACAGACGAGGAGCUUGCUCCUCUGACGUUAGCGGCGGACGGGUGAGUAACACGUGGAUAACCUACCUAUAAGACUGGGAUAACUUCGGGAAACCGGAGCUAAUACCGGAUAAUAUAUUGAACCGUAUGGUUCAAUAGUGAAAGACGGUUUUGCUGUCACUUAUAGAUGGAUCCGCGCCGCAUUAGCUAGUUGGUAAGGUAACGGCUUACCAAGGCAACGAUGCGUAGCCGACCUGAGAGGGUGAUCGGCCACACUGGAACUGAGACACGGUCCAGACUCCUACGGGAGGCAGCAGUAGGGAAUCGUCCGCAAUGGGCGAAAGCCUGACGGAGCAACGCCGCGUGAGUGAUGAAGGUCUUCGGAUCGUAAAACUCUGUUAUUAGGGAAGAACAAAUGUGUAAGUAACUAUGCACGUCUUGACGGUACCUAAUCAGAAAGCCACGGCUAACUACGUG